AAAACGCCACGACCAGAGGAGUAGAAACACUACAAUUUUGAAAGCGUCUCAAAGUUCGCGAGAUAAUUUGAUUAUUCAUUGGCACCCAAGACUAAUUUUCUGUAGGCUGCCGUGUAUCUACUGCGAAUCCAAAGGAAUAAUGGCAGCUCUAACAAGAGGUAUUUUUGUGGUUGGAGCAAAACGCACUCCAUUUGGCACAUUUGGUGGUAAAUUGGCUAAUCGUACACCAACUGAUUUGCAAGAAGUAGCUGCAAAAGCAGCUCUGUCAGCUGCCAAUGUAUACCCAGAACUCGUUGAUUCAGUUAUUAUUGGUAAUGUGAUUGGGUGCGCUCAUACGGAUACAAUCUAUGCUGCUCGACAUGUAGGUCUUCGAUGUGGAGUUCCCAUUAGUGCUCCAGCCCUCUCUGUUAAUAGGCUGUGUGGAUCUGGAUUCCAAUCAGUUGUGAACGGUGCCCAUGUAAGUUUUUAUUUGUUCUA